rnacentral:rRNA from 1 species
UACGUAGAUGGCGAGCGUUGUCCGGAAUUACUGGGUGUAAAGCGCGUGUAGGCGGGAGGCCAAGUCUGUGGUGAAAUCGCUCGGCUUAACUGGGCGGGGUCCAUGGAAACUGGUCACCUGGAGGUCGGUAGAGGCAAGUGGAAUUCCCGGUGUAGUGGUGAAAUGCGUAGAGAUCGGGAGGAACACCAGUGGCGAAGGCGGCCUGCUGGGCCGGACCUGACGCUGAGACGCGAAGGCGUGGGGAGCGAACGGG